ensembl:lncRNA
GUAACUUUUGCACACUUUAGAAAGAAACAACCUUCACUCUCAAAUGGAAUUUUGGGUGAAUGGUGAUGACGCUCUGAGUCAGAGCCUUUGAUAUAAAUAUUUAAAGAAAUUCAUCGCCAAAGUGUAGGGUUCCCAUAUUCUGUCUGGAAGAAGUGGUCGGGCAGCACUAUUUUUUUCCUCUCGAAAGGUCGUGCCUUUUUUAGAGGGGCACUUGUGUGUUUUUGUCAAACAUUUUACGGUUUAAUUAGGCAGUUAUUAUUAUCACCAUCAUUCAUGAAAUUUGAUGAAAAGCAAGAAUUCCAUUGAAAUCCCGCUAUUGACUGCCACAGGCGUGUUCAGAGGUACAAGGGCUGUACCGUGUGUUUGCAUAUGUGUGUGAAUAAUGGGCGAGUAUACCUUCUGGGGCCACAGCCUGCGGACCGGUUUGGAGUGCACGUCGGGAGGGAGGCAGGACACCGGGCCAAGAUGUCUGUGGUGUGGAUUAAUGGGGAGGUUCGAAGCUGGGGUGCCGCAGUUGAGCGUGAGCAGAAUAUUUGUAGCAGGGAGUGGGAGACAGAGGAAAGUAACAGAGAGAGAGAGAGAGAGAGAGAGAGUGAGAGAGAGAGAGAGAGAGAGAGAGAGAGAGAGAGAGAGAGAGAGAGAGAGAGAGAGAGAGAGAGAGAGAGAGAGAGAGAGAGAGAGAGAGAGAGAGAGACUGCAACCAAUAGGUGAGAUUGGAGAACAAAGGUAAAGAGACCCCAAGGGAAGACCUGAUGUAUUUACAAUUAAAGUCAGACUCCAAAUGUGUGUGUGUGUGUGUGUGUGUGUGUGUGUGUGUGUGUGUGUGUGUGUGUGUGUGUGUGUCAAUGAUACUGUUAAAUUCCAUUUUCUUUAGGUUUACAAGCUACAGCGUGGGAUAUCAACGUUUUUGCUGUUGUACUUCUUAUAAUAUUGAAGUUGAUUUGAUUAGUCGAUAUUUCGUUGCGGGCAACCUGUUUGUGGAACCAAAGUCGCUCAAACAAAAUCAAAUAGUGCUACAACUAUGGGUUGCCUUGAGAUUCCUUGUCUGUUUUUCCCAAAGCGUUGCUUGCCAUCAUUUCUGAAAUAUACUUCUUUAUUAUAAUUAAAUUAGAUCCCAUAUUUUGUGAUUUUAAACUUUAGAACUGACAACAUCUGUGGUUCUUGCUGUUUUUGGCCAAAUGUUGCAUCAUAAUGUCGUUGUAACAUUGUUAAGAUGUCAAUGUUAAUUACAUAUUUAUGCUUUUAGAGGUGAUAAUGGGUAAACGACAGAUUGUAGAAACUAUGGGUUUGUGCAACUGACGGAAUAUGCACUUAAAAUCUACAAAAUCUAAAAUAUUUAAAACUAUAUAAUUUGCUCUUGAAUGCAUCCUUAAAACAGGGCAGUAAAUAAACUUGGUUUGGUAUUGGAAACUCCAAGCACAUAAUACAAUAAAGAUUAUGAGACAGAUUUUGGUCAUACUUCAAAAUAAAAAUGUAUUUUGCACUUACAGUUGCUUUCCUUCUGCAAAUAGCAAAUGGCCGUCCUAAAUUCUUCCUGUCUUCUGCGCUAUUUGUUUUGAUUAGUGCCAAACCAUAAAUUGAACCUUUCAAAAGUAUCAUCAGCCACAAAUGUCUCCAAGCAACAGUUUGCCCACGUUUUGAGGAAGCCCCUCUCUGCUCAGUUCUGGCAGCUGCCCUCCGAUAUUCUGGUUGCUAAAGAAAUAAGAUUCCAGAAUGCCAAGGUCUCGUGUCUGAAUGGUGAUGCACACGCAGUCGUUCUGCAGUAGUAAAGCUCGGCGUUGGAACAAUUGGAACCGAGCGAUGAAUCACAACCCGAAAGAAAACCAAUAUAACCGAAAAUUAGAACAGAGGUAUUGGCAAAGUAAAUGGAAAGACACGGUUUAGAAACAAGGUUUAGAAACACACUCUAAAAUUCCUGUUCGAUUAGAAUAAAAGAGCAUUAUCAAAGCAUUAUUCUACCACUUAAAUGAAGUACUUCAUGGGACAAUUCUAAUAAUUAAAGCAUGGGAAUUAAAUCGAUUAUUACUAUUUGCAUGUAAAUGUAUAAGUCCCAAAUCAAUUUCAAUGAGCACCACGGCUAAUGGUUCAAUAUUGUAUUAGCGUAAGCGCGUGAUCCCAUUUUCCGACGCUUAAAGAUGUAGAACAUGGAUCUUGAAUGGGAUCCUCAGGUUUAAUAUUUAUAAACCCAGCCUCCCG